rnacentral:rRNA from 1 species
UACGGAGGGAGCUAGCGUUGUUCGGAAUUACUGGGCGUAAAGCGUACGUAGGCGGUUAUUCAAGUCAGAGGUGAAAGCCCGGGGCUCAACCCCGGAACUGCCUUUGAAACUAGAUAGCUAGAAUCUUGGAGAGGUCAGUGGAAUUCCGAGUGUAGAGGUGAAAUUCGUAGAUAUUCGGAAGAACACCAGUGGCGAAGGCGACUGACUGGACAAGUAUUGACGCUGAGGUACGGAAGCGUGGGGAGCAAACAGG